rnacentral:rRNA from 1 species
GAUGAACGCUGGCGGCGUGCCUAAUACAUGCAAGUCGAGCGAACAGACGAGGAGCUCGCUCCCCUGCGGUUAGCGGCGGACGGGCGAGUAACAAGUGGAUAGGCUACUUCUUAGUCUGGGAUAACUACGGGAAACAGGAGACACUAAUGGCUCAUAUAUUCUACCGCAUGGAUCAAUAGUGAUUGACGGUUUUGCUGUCACUUAUAGAUGGUUUCGCGUCGCAUUAGCUAGUUGGUAAGGUAACGGCUUACCAAGGCAACGAUGCGUAGCCGACCUGAGAGGAUGAUCAGCCACACUGGAACUGAGACACGGUCCAGACUCCUACGGGAGGCAGCAGUAGGGAAUCUUGCACAAUGGGCGAAAGCCUGACGGAGCAACACCGCGUGAGUGAUGAAGGUCUUCGGGUCGUAAAGCUCUGUUGUUAGGGAAGAACAAAUGUGUAAUUAACUAUGCACGUCUUGACGGUACCUAAUGAGAAAGCCACGGCUAACUUCGUG